rnacentral:lncRNA from 12 species
AUGUAUCUUUUUUUUUUUUUAUUUUUAUUUUGGCAGGUGGGGAAGUAUUCACAAAAUACCCUUAAUUUUAAGUUUCCAGAGAGAGGAGCUCUCCAUUUGCCCCCGUGGUCUUGCACAAGCCGCUGGCGUGGAUGGAUGGAUGGAUGGAUCCACUCAAAGAUGGAUAAGAAAAGUAGCACGGAAACAGGUAAGCAGUGCAGGAAGCGGAAGGGCAACUAUGGCAAGCGUCAGCCUGGGGUUGGGAAGAACGUUAACAGAGAGUAGCAACUGAGGGAAGAACACCUUAAAUUGUUACCAGAACUAAGUAGAAAUAAAGAAAUUCUCAUCUCAGAUACA